rnacentral:rRNA from 1 species
UAGGGAAUCUUCCGCAAUGGACGCAAGUCUGACGGAGCAACGCCGCGUGAGUGAAGAAGGAUUUCGGUUCGUAAAACUCUGUUGUUAGAGAAGAACAGCGCAUAGAGUAACUGUUAUGCGUGUGACGGUAUCUAACCCGAAAGCCACGGCUAACUACGUGCCAGCAGCCGCGGUAAUACGUAGGUGGCAAGCGUUGUCCGGAUUUAUUGGGCGUAAAGCGAGCGCAGGCGGUCAAUUAAGUCUGAUGUGAAAGCCCCCGGCUCAACCGGGGAGGGUCAUUGGAAACUGGUUGACUUGAGUGCAGAAGAGGAGGGUGGAAUUCCAUGUGUAGCGGUGAAAUGCGUAGAUAUAUGGAGGAACACCAGUGGCGAAGGCGACUCUCUGGUCUGUAACUGACGCUGAGGCUCGAAAGCGUGGGUAGCAAACAGG